AACAAACUCCGGACACGCCGCCUUUAAGAACUAUAACACUCACGGCGAGGGUGCGCGGUUUCAUUCUUGAAGUCAGUGAGACCAAGAACCCACCAAUUCUGGACACAUGGCCACUGAGCACUCCCUGCUCGGGGCUGCACCUCAGCAACAACAGAGGCUAUGAUACCGGGCUGGAGGGCGCUGAAACGUUAGGAACAAGCUCUGAAGUCUUGAUCCAAAACAGACAAGGCUUUAAUAUGAAAGCAUUUUUCUUUGAAGAAGUUCACCCUGAAGCCUUGGCCCAAUGAUCUCAGAAGAUGAGAGAGAAUGGCAAACCAAAAACUCUGAGUGAGUUUGAAAGUGGAUCUUCUGAAGCCUUCCAACAGUCAUGUGUGGAAUCUGGAAGUGCAUUUUUGAGGCUUUCCCAUAGCCAUCUGAGUGAGCUGAAAUCAUAAAUCGGACAGUUUCUUCAAGUGGCUCUUUUGAACAUCUCGUGAAAGUAACACUACCUAACUGAAGCAAGAAAACAGUAUUUAUGGGAAUGGUCAUGGAUAGCUCACGGUAACAGUGGAUUAUGAAAAAUAAGACCUUCAGAAGAACAGAAACAAAAGAAUCUCUAGUUAUUUAAGAAGCAGAAACUUGAACACAUUUUCCCAAGUACAUUGGCAUAAAAAUUGUCUGAUGAUGCUAAUACAAGAUCCGACUACCUCUUACGCUAAAGUGGCACAGCUUAUGAUAACAAUUCAGCCGAUUACAUCCUACCACUCUGCUUUUGGUGAAGGAAGACUGUGCUUUCCCAUGGGUGAUUAUCCCACCAUAAUUUCAAGGGUGAGGAAGGGGCAGUUUCCCCAAAUCAUGCAAUGCUGGAGA